UGCACGUGAGAUGCUAGCUGAGAAGUAGGUAUCAAGACAAAAACAUUUAGUUAAGGUACAUGUGUUAAUGUUCAAGAGGAACAAGUGUAUAACUCUUUGAAUAGUCAACCUAGCUACUAUACUUAUACACUUUGUAUUAAGAAGAAGCUAUUUAUCUGAUAAAGAGAGAACAGUAGAAACUCGAGGGAAAACAGAGAGGGCCGUGAGGUGGAGAGUGGAGCAAUCAUCCAACCCAUCACGGUGAUGCAUAGCGUAGCAAUUACAGUUGGUGGUUCACGGUGGAGGAGUGUCCAUAAUAAGGUCACGAUCUUACUUAAGGUACCAAGCCAGGAAGUAUAUAAUAUGCUCUAAAUCUCCAGAGUAUUCCUUUUGCAAGCCUUUGUAUUCUACUCGAUCAUCAUGUUGUUUAUUGAAUUAUCUGAAUUCAUUGUUGGAAUUGAGUUAUGUGUUAUGUAUGGGGGUUGGGUGCCGUGGAACUAUUUAGUAUAUGAUCCAGUGAAGUUGCCUACUGUGCUAACGGCCCGAGAAGCCUCAUUAUAGGCUGGGUGUGGCAAGUGAGGCCGGUCACUGGUCAUUCACUGAGGAGGACCUAAUAUGAGGUCGUAUUAUGUGGCUUGUUGUUGACUCCGUGUCGCUAAUUGGUUGGUCUCAUUUAUUGUGAGCAUAUCUAUUCUCGUCGUAUUGUAUACUUCCUGGGGGGGUUUGUGUUGCAGGUUGUGGAGACGAGGAUGGCAUAUCGGGUUGUCGGUGGUGGAGUUAUAACCGGCUGGGUGUUUAGGCCUAGGUGGCUGCUAUUAUUUAAUCUCAGAUAAUUGUAAACUCUUUUCUUUUGUAAGUUUUGUAUUAAUGGCAGAUUGUAGUCUUGGGUUAACACUUUGAUUAUUGGAGGUGGUAGUGGUGCUUGGAGAACCGGGUCGUUACAAAAAUCCACAUACUCCCCAACCCAAAUAACAUGAUACGAGCAGGUUAAGUUGCAAACCAGUAUACUCUGAUCAAUAUCGGACUUUGAAAGGUUUCCAGCAGGAUCAACAAAAGCACUGGAGCAAUAGAUCGAAGAUAUAGCUAAUAAAACUGGAACAUAUCCUUAAUGUUCACUGCCUAAGGAAUAGAGAAUGCUGAAGAGUGGCAGACAGACUAAUCAAGAUUCAAAAUGGGAAAUGGGAAAAUCUUGGACGGGUAUCUCAUACAUCCAGAUCAUAAGCAGAUGCAAUCAUCCAAGGCAAGUUGGGGAGUUAGGUAAGGACUCUGGCGGCAUCUCUACUUCACAUCACUCAGCACACUAUCGAAACACAACAUACAGAGCAACCGAACAAACUUCCAAAAGAUGAUAUGCAACUAACAGGGAGGAGUAGAUUGUCGAUUGAAGAGCCAGAAAUGGUCAACACAAGCUCAUAAAUGAAAUCAAUAUUCCCGUAGAGAAAGAUCAAGCCAAUCUUUAACAGAAUUGGACCUGUAUCGACUAACCACAUGUAAUUAACUAACUAUUCAGCAGUUAAAACAAAAGUACAAUGACAACUUUACCAAUACCACCAAAGUAUACCUUUUGUCUGAAUUAACUGGGGCCGGUUACAUGAGUGAUGAGUCAUUCACAAAGUUACCAAGAACUUCAUAAUCAAUGGAGUUUAAUAAAUUCACAGCCUUCUUAACCACAGCAUCCCAUUACAAUGUUCUAUCAAGAACUUCAUAAUCAAUCGAGUUUACUAAAUUCACACCCUUGUUAACCACAGCAUCCCAUGCCAAUGUUGGCCUUUCCCUCCCCUUAACAUUCUAUCAACAAACUAUGUACCGAACUUCGCAAUAAUGGUAGAAUAAAACUCCUAUUCAAUUAGGAAAGGAAUUUGACCUAGAUCAACAAAACCACAAACAAAUAGCUAAAUUUUUCAGCAAAUAAACCAAGGGGACGAAUAAUCAAUCCCAACGCAAAUAAGCAAAGCAAUUCAAAGAAACUGAAUCAAUUCAAUUCAAUCCGAUUAUAAAACCACAUUUAACUAACUUUAUCUAC